GCAGCGGCUGAGCAUAUGAGACGCACUGGGCGGCGCCAACCCCAAGCACGCCAUUUCAGCUUCCAGCUCGCCGCGGCGCGGCGGAGCAAGGCAAAAACCCUCGUACAAAUCGGCACCGCCGCCGGCGGAAUCGCGGGUGGAGAUUUGGCAGCCACAAUGUCAACGUAUCCUGUGCUGAAUGACCAGCCAAUUGAUCAGUGGGAGGUCAUGGAACUGAAGGAUGAGCUCUGUAGGAGGAACCUACCUAUCGACGGUUUGAAGGAAGAUCUUGUCAAAAGGCUCUUUGACGACCUACAGGGUGAUAUGCUUGGCAGAGAAGGAACAGUCAAUGGAUCUUCCCCUGAUGAUGAUCUGAAAGAGGACGAAGCAACUGGUUCUGCUGAUGCAUCUGUUUGCCAGGCUGUGAUGGAACCAAGUGUUGAUGAAAAUCCUUCUCUGGUUUCAGCGCAAAAUGGGGAUGUUGUUGUUUCUGUUGCAGAAGCUAGUAAGGAAAGUGAAGUUGCUACUGGAAAUGUUAGCCACAAAUUUGUUGUUACUACUCAAGAAGUUAGUCAGAAACCUCUUGCUGCUGCUGCUGCAGAAGUUAGUGAUGCCCCACUAGUUGAUGUGUUGACAACUGCGGCAACUAAGCAAGAUGAUCUAGAAUCAGCGCCAUCUGACAGUACUAUGGUGAUGGAUGUGCAAGAAGAAGCUGGUGCUCAUAGUGAGUUUAUUGCAGAGAAGGCUCUAGACGAAGAUGCUGGCAAGAAAACGAUUGUUGAUUAUCUAUUUGCCACUACUGAUGUCAAGUUGGAUGUGUCUCCUGCUAAAGGCAAGUUAGACGACGACAUUCUAGAGCAUGAAGUGGUACCAUCACCUCUGGAUGCUGUUGUGCCUCGUGCUGACCAUUGGGAUGUCGAUGCUGUUGCAGCUGCACUAGGACAUGAUGGUGAUGCCAUGAUUCCUAAGAUAAGUUCGGUUGACAAUGAUUUGAUGAACUGCAAGGACCACGAAGAUUCUGGGCUCACAAGCAAUGCUUGCAAACUAACCAUAUCUGGACCAAUAGAUCAGACAACUGGAACAUUGCCAGCGACAAUGCCGACAUAUCCCGUGCUAAACAACCAAGCAAUUGAUCAGUGGAAGGUCACAGAACUGAAGGAUGAGCUCUCUAAGAGGAACCUACCUGUCAAAGGUUUGAAAGAUGAUCUUGUGAAAAGGCUCUUUAAGGACCUUGAGGGUGAUAUACUUGGUGGAUCUCCCUGCAGUUAUGAUCUCAAAGUGGACGGAACUCCUGGUUCUGUGGAUGCAUCUGUUUGCCAGGAUGUGAUGGAACAAAAUGUUGAUGAAGGUCCUUCUCAGGUUGCAACUCAGGAAGGAAGUUCCGACACUACUACAGAUGUUAGUCAUGAUGCUGUAGCUACUACCGAAGAAGUUAAUCAGACAACUCUUCUUGCUGCUACAGAUAGUGAUUCUCCUCUAGUUGAUUCUGCAACAGCUGAUACAAUUUCUCUAAGUGAUGCAGUGGCAACUAAAAGAGAUGAUCUAGAAUCAGCUCCAAGUGAUGGUGCUAUAUUGAAGGCAGCAUCUCUAAAAGCUGAUUGCCAUAGUAAGAUAAUUGCAGAGAAGGCUCCAGAAGAAGGCACCUUCAAGGAAGCUGUUGUUGAUUAUCUACCAUAUGAUGUAGCCAGUACUAAUGUUAAGUUGGAUGCAACCUCUGCUAAAGGCAAGUUAGACGCUGAUAUCAUAGAGAAGGAAGCAGUAUUAUCACUUCCAGAUGCUAUUGCACUACAUACUGAUCAUUUGGAUGUUCAUGCUUUUGCAACUUCACCUGGCCAGAAUGCGAAGACCCUGAUUCCGAAUAUAGAUUUGGGUGACAAUGCUUUCAUGAGCAACAAGGACCGCAAAGAUUCUGGGCACACAAAUGAUGCCUGCAAACCAUCCCUGUCAGGAACAAAGGACCAAGUCUCUGAGGCCAACCCUGAUAUAGGUUCUCAAAUCAAGUGUGUAUUGAUUUCACAUGAGGAUAUAUCAACUAAUGUAAAGGGUGACCUGAAUGCUGACAAUUCUGAUUUGGAACUAGAGGCAAAACGGGAUAUGGUCAAACCACCACCAUGCAGAAUUCCCUCCGUAGGUGAUGAUUUGCAGGCAUUGGACGAUGAAAAGCAGUUGUGUAAGAAGGGAACCCAAUUGCAAGAAAUAAGAUCUAUGACCAAUAUGGACUUGGACAAGAAAGAGGACAGUCCCAAUGGUGUUUCUCCUGAAAAAGUAAAUUUAGAGAGGACCUCAGGUAAUGAAUCGAUAGAGGAGGAUGCCAUGGAAAGUAAGCAUGUUAUUCCCAAUAUCAGAUCUGAUGAUGUUGGAAGAGAAAUUGAGGUUACCUCGGACCAUGAGGUAAAAGAGGUGGUGCUCUUUGAUACUGUUGAUUCAUCUGUGCAAACAAAGGAUAAUGUAGCCAAGGAGAAAUCAGUAGCUCCAUCUGAAAAGAGGAAACCGGAAGACCAAGUUGUUGCAGUUGACCCCAACAAACGUCAACGCCGUGUGGAUAGUGUCAAACUUCCUAAGGAACAAACAUCCAAAAGUAGCUCUAUUUGUCCAAAGGGUGUCGUUCAGCCUGCUAUAAAACGUUCUUUUGGCAGGUCUGGUUCUGUGGCAAGUGGAGAUUCCCACAUAGAGCGGACAGUGCCACUUUCUCAGAAGCCUGCAACUACUUCCUUGAAAAUUGAUCGUUUUGUGCGCCCAUUUACUCUGAAAGCUGUGCAAGAGCUUCUUGGUAGAACUGGAUCUAUUUGCAGCUUUUGGAUGGAUCAUAUCAAGACUCACUGCUAUGUUACAUACUCUUCAGUGGAUGAAGCUGUGGCUACCAGGAAUGCUGUUUACAACCUCCAAUGGCCCCUAAACAAUGGCAGUUACUUACUUGCCGAAUUUGUCGAUCCACUUGAGGUGAAGCUCAAACUUGAACACCCUCCUCCACCACCAGCACCGAUCAGCCUCAGCGAAGAUACAACACAGCAGGCAGUAGGCUUCCAACAAUCAAAGCCUAACCAAACCAUGCUUCCUGAUGGCGCGGGUGCCUUGAGGGGUCUGUUGCCUACUCCACAACCUCUGAAAUUGUUUCCGGCCUCUAAGCCUGGGUCAGAUAGGGAUAUGCUUCCACCCCCUCCAAAGGAAAUUAAAGCACCUGCCAUGUCGCUUGCUGAUCUCUUCAAGCGGACACAGGCCCCUCCCAUGAUUUACUACUUGCCCUUAACUGAAGAGGAGGUGGCAGCAAAGCUCGCAGCACGCAGCAGACGAAGGAAGAGAGGGUAGGGGAGACUAAAAUCUGCUGCUCUGGCUGGUACGAUGACGCCUUUUUUUUCGCGGGGUGGUAAAACCGGUAUGAUCAGCAGAUUCUCCCCCAACAACCUUGACUGUUGCUGCUCCUGCAGUCCAUGAAGUGCCAGGUGGGGUAGUUGCUGAUUGUAGUUGUAUAGGUGGUAUUUUGUGAAGAAGCUCGUCGCUGCCAGAACCUUGUAGUCCAGGUGUAAAUUGAGCUAGCCUUAGUUUUGCUUCUCAACCGAACUGUUAACGCAUCCUCAUGCCAAUGUCGAUCAAUGUUUGUAUGCCACUUGGUCUGAGAGGCGUGGCUGUGUUUGUUUGCUGAACUUGUAGCAAGUGGACGAAAUGUUACGCAUCUUCCUUGUUAAGCUGGCAAGUGAAAACAUUUCCCGUGUA